CUCUGUGUUCAGCACAGAUCCAAAGCCCAGCCCUGCAGCAGCCUCUGUGAGACAAAAACUCUACCCCAGCUGAAAGCAGCACAGAUGCACAGCCCUGAAAUCUGGUUCCCACCACAGAUCCCUCCUGUUGCUUCACCCUGCUCAGCCCUGACAAAGAAGAGACCAAGGCAAGAGGGCUGGGUGUCCCGUGUGACUGCUGCUGAGCUGCAUCCUGUUUGGACCAUGAGAUUUGGUGCUCCAUGGACCUGAAAGGAAGGUCAGUGGAUGUCACAUGAAGGUGCUUGGACUCCCGCCCAGCCUUAGGAGCAAAGCAGGUGUUGUUGAGCAGAGCUAUAGCAAAGAAACCUCUGAAAUCUGUGGGAUGCUUUCUACAACCCUUAGCCUCUGACUGUAGCAGCUGGAAACAAAUCUCCAUGGAAAACCUGUCUUUAAUACCUCUGGAAGGAGUUUUCUGCUUGACUGCAUGCUGAGGGUUCCCCCAUCUCUCGAAGAGGAUUCCUGGCUCCAGCAGGUCCUCUCAGCCAUCCUUGUCCAGUAGAGAUGAGAAGAAUUGAUGACUUACUGUGGCAUAAUUUCCCCCUCUGCAUAAUGAGAUGUUGAAGACUCUCGUUCACACUAGGCUGGAGAGUUGCCUUUAUGGGCAUCCUGAAGUCUUGGGCUUGAAUGGAAACCCAUCUCCCACUAGCAGAAGAUUGGAUACACCUCAUCAUCACUUGUGCAUAUUUUUGCCUGCCACGCAAUCGCAGGAAAAUAGGGCCUUGCAGAAGCUGCCUAAGAUGAAAACCUUUCCCAAAACCAAGAGAAACAAAAAGCUUCCUCAAAGUGGAUGGAGAUGCUGCACAGACUGCCCUGCCUGAGCACCCCUGCCCUGCUCUGGAUUAUUUAACUGGGUUCUGCAAACAUGAUUUCAAACAGCAAACAGCUAAGCAAGGGGAGCAAGACAUAACCUUUGUUUAUGCAGGACCUACCAGAAGCUGACAAUGUGGGUACGUGGGCAAUGGGAAAAACAGUUUAUGUUUUAAGCUUCAUGUGACCUCUAGAGCUUCUGAGCUUUGGAAGGUGAGAGUGAGACAAUCCUCACAAGCACUUGAUCCCUCUUGAAAUGAAGGGGCUUUCCUGGGUACACAGCUUUCCCCCUUCCCUCCCAGAAAUGUAUCUGAUUUUUGGGGGUGGAAAAAAAAAGAGGAUUGAUUCAAAUAAAAAUGUAUUUGUAUGAGAAAAAUUAUUUCCUUCCAUGAGUAAACACAUAGUUUGAGGCAAAUUUAUGGCUUUGCCCUGGUCAUUAAUAU